GAUGAACGCUGGCGGCGUGCCUAAUACAUGCAAGUCGAGCGAACUUUUGGGAGCUUGCUCCCAAAAGUUAGCGGCGGACGGGUGAGUAACACGUGGGUAACCUGCCUGUAAGACUGGGAUAACUUCGGGAAACCGGAGCUAAUACCGGAUAACAUUGAAGACCACAUGGCCCUCAAUUAAAAGGUGGCUUUUAGCUACCACUUACAGAUGGACCCGCGGCGCAUUAGCUAGUUGGUGAGGUAACGGCUCACCAAGGCGACGAUGCGUAGCCGACCUGAGAGGGUGGUCCGCCACACUGGGACUGGGACACGGCCCAGACUCCUACGGGAGGCAGCAGUAGGGAAUCUUCCGCAAUGGACGAAAGUCUGACGGGGCAACGCCGCGUGGGCGAAGAAGGCCUUCGGGUCGUAAAGCUCUGUUGUUAGGGAAGAACAAGUAUCGUUCGAAUAGGGCGGUACCUUGACGGUACCUAACCAGAAAGCCACGGCUAACUACGUG
rnacentral:rRNA from 1 species